rnacentral:lncRNA from 1 species
UAGAAAAUCAAGAAAAAACAUAUUUUUUUAAUAAUAUAAUGAAAUCACCACAGAUAAAUGCCAACCACAUUAUUUUCAUGCACAUGAUGCAUGAAAAAUCACAAGACCAAAAUUAUUUGACAUAGUCCAAUACAUUGAAAAAUUAAUUCCAGUGGUAAAUUGAACCUAGCUAAUCCAUUCGUCACCAAAUCAUAGAUCAUCUCCAUCCAGAUAUCCAAGACAUAUAUGAAAAAAGGAAUUAUGGUUCAACUCCAUUCAUAAGCAGUGUUCUCGAGAAAAAAAAAGAACUCCUUUGCAUAAGCUUAUCACAUAGACACUGCAACUAGUAAAAACAAUCUUCUUCUUUAAAUCAUGCAUUUGCUUCCACACUAGAACCCUGCAGGUAAACAAGGAAAAAAUUAGUAGUUAGAGACAUACCUAAAGUAAACUGAUCUAUUGUUGCUAGGAUACAUCAACUUGAAGCAAGGGUAAACAUGUGGCAUGCCACAACAAGCAAGUUUCAAAUGUGGACAAGUUGUGAAGUACUGGUGCAGCUGCAGCUUAGUCAUCUAAGCUCCACAAGACAUAAUUAGUUUGCACAUAGUGGCAUCAAGAUAAGAGUUCUUUUGGCAGUGUACUAUAGAGUGGGCAUGCUGAUUUCAAAACUGAUGUUUCAACCAUCUAAUGAUGUUUCAGUACACAUGUUGACACAGUGCAGAAACACUGAAUAAAUGUAUGAAAUAACCACAUAAAGAAUCAUGUAAUGCUUUGAAUAAUCCUAAAACAGUAGAAUGCAGGUCUAUCAGAACAAAUGUGGCCAAGCAUUGCUAAUUAUGUUGUCUCACCUUUGGUAAUUUUAUCUUCUGCCUUCUUCGGAGAUAUGGCCUGCCUCUAGUCAAGUUGAACCUUCACGAAAGAAAUCAUGUAAGUUAGAUUCAGUGAAUUUUAAAUUGCCUGAUAGAAAAAGAGGGGGAACUAACAUUCCAAAACUAUACAAACAAAUAAUAGAACCCACAGGUUUACUAUGCACAUAUUUGCAGGCAAUGCUGCAAUGCUCGUCAAGCUAUGAAGUCAAUACAACUGCAUAAUCAAACAUACAAGACCCAAAAAGAAGUGACUAGCAUACUAAUAGGAAUAUUAGCUAAAUAAGUCCCAAUCCAUAAACCGUAAAUAAUCUACAAAGUGAAACACAUAAUUUGUCUGAACCACAACUUGCUGUUACUGCAAGGCACACAUAACUAAACCAGAUUGAAUCAUUGUUGAAUCUUAGGCAAUGAGUGUUACUAUAUACUAACAGUAAAGCCUUUUGUGCAUUUUGAGAAUGCAAGGAAGUUGUGCUGACUGUGGUUAAGUAGCAUCAUAUCUGCACUUGUCAGAAUAUAAAUUGAAGUCUACUCUCACCAGGGCAACUUUAGCUAGCAAUUUUCAUCAUAAAUUUUACUUUUCUGAAAAAGCUCUUAUAUUACAGAUUAAAGAUACCGGCAAUACGGUCAGUCCCCUCUGGAGCAUGGUAUUGAUUUAGUACUAAUUAAACCCGUCUGAUGAAAAAAGAAUAUUAGCAUUCAGCAAUGCAAGCCGAUCGAUCUCAUGAAUGUGUGGCUGCAGCAACCAGCAACCAGCAGCCGAUCGACCAUCAGCAUGCCAGCGGCAGCAGCAUCUUUGAAUAAACUCCUUGGCUGCUUCAGGCACUGUUUUUUUCUCCCCUCUGAUCCCUCUCUCUUUUCUUUUGCAGUGUUCAUUCAGUACAAACAUUAUUUGAAUAAACUUGCAGCUCCUGUUCCUUUGACAUUUCAAUUUCUACUACUAGUACCUCCGUAAUCUCCUCGUUCCUAAAUUAAAGGUAUGACCAUUGAAUAGAACCAAGUGCUGUAGUUUAUGUACUGUGCUGUGAAUCUGUGAUGCAAGGCUAAACUAGCUUUGUAGGCAGCAAAUGGUCAUGCACAAAGUGAAGGAAAGGACUAAUAGAUGGACGAUUUUUUUUGCCAAAUCUUUAACCAGCCAGUCUAUUUAGGCUAAUUUUCUAGUUCUAAUUAGUAAACUAGCAAUAAUUGUACACAUGCACGUUAAAUAAGUGAAGGAAAGGCUAAACUAACUUUAGCCGCUUCAUCAUGCUAUUCUUGUGACCGACAACCGAGCAGGCAAGGAGACUAAUCCUGGCUUUGCAGAUAGCCAGAUAGUACUAUCAUGAUCGCUGUCAUGUUCAAACUGGUGAACUGAACUGCUUAAAGUCAUGCGGCAUAGGCAGCACAACAUUGUUUUCUGAACUUUCUGUGAACUGAACUGCGAGUUUCUGAACUGCGAGUUUCUGAACUUUCUGUGAACUAAACUGCGAGUGCAGGAGUGCUGCAUCUGCCUAGCGCAGUACAGGGAGAAGGAGGAGGUUCAGCAGCUGGCGUGCACGCACAUCAAAAUAUCCACAAGAAACAGGUGAGGAAACCCUAGAUGCGGUACAGAGAGAUGUAGAUGGAAGCGAGCUCACCUGUGGAGUCGGGAGUCAGAAGUCGACGAGAUGGCACGGGCGACGGGAAGCCGGUGCGGAGGAGACGGGGUGCCGAGGCGUAGGCGAUGGGAUGCCGGGGGCGCUGUCGAUGGGGGAUGACGGGGAGCGGCGGCGUCGACGGGAUGCCGAGGCAGAGGCGUCUCAACGUGAUGCGGGGCGCUUCCCCAUCUCGAUCUGGAUGGAGCUCGUCGGUGGAGACCGGAGCACCUGGGUGACGACGGCGGCCUCACGAGCGACCUCGCGAGUGGAAGAAGACGAGCCGCGAGGCUCGCGUCGCACGGGGAAACUCUCCUGACG